rnacentral:rRNA from 1 species
UACGGAGGAUGCGAGCGUUAUCCGGAUUUAUUGGGUUUAAAGGGUGCGCAGGCGGCGAGUUAAGUCAGCGGUAAAAUUUCGGGGCUCAACCCCGUCGUGCCGUUGAAACUGGCGUUCUUGAGUGAGCGAGAAGUAUGCGGAAUGCGCGGUGUAGCGGUGAAAUGCAUAGAUAUCGCGCAGAACUCCGAUUGCGAAGGCAGCAUGCCGGCUCCACACUGACGCUGAGGCACGAAAGCGUGGGUAUCGAACAGG